UACGAAGGGGGCUAGCGUUGCUCGGAAUCACUGGGCGUAAAGGGUGCGUAGGCGGGUCUUUAAGUCAGAGGUGAAAUCCUGGAGCUCAACUCCAGAACUGCCUUUGAUACUGAGGAUCUUGAGUUCGGGAGAGGUGAGUGGAACUGCGAGUGUAGAGGUGAAAUUUCGUAGAUAUUCGCAAGAACACCAGUGGCGAAGGCGGCUCACUGGCCCGAUACUGACGCUGAGGCACGAAAGCGUGGGGAGCAAACAGGG
rnacentral:rRNA from 1 species